CACAGCUACUCUAUGAUGCAGUCGAGCGGCACGUUUUUGAAGCUUGCUUCAAAAACGUUAGCGGCGGACGGGUGAGUAACACGUGGGCAACCUACCUUAUCGACUGGGAUAACUCCGGGAAACCGGGGCUAAUACCGGAUAACAUCUAGCACCUCCUGGUGCCGGAUUAAAAGAGGGCUUCUUGCUCUCACGAUGAGAUGGGCCCGCGGCGCAUUAGCUAGUUGGAGAGGUAACGGCUCCCCAAGGCGACGAUGCGUAGCCGACCUGAGAGGGUGAUCGGCCACACUGGGACUGAGACACGGCCCAGACUCCUACGGGAGGCAGCAGUAGGGAAUCUUCCGCAAUGGACGAAAGUCUGACGGAGCAACGCCGCGUGAGUGAUGAAGGGUUUCGGCUCGUAAAGCUCUGUUAUGAGGGAAGAACACGUACCGUUCGAAUAGGGCGGUACCUUGACGGUACCUCAUCAGAAAGCCACGGCUAACUACGUGCCAGCAGCCGCGGUAAUACGUAGGUGGCAAGCGUUGUCCGGAAUUAUUGGGCGUAAAGCGCGCGCAGGCGGCCUUUUAAGUCUGAUGUGAAAUCUUGCGGCUCAACCGCAAGCGGCCAUUGGAAACUGGGAGGCUUGAGUACAGAAGAGGAGAGUGGAAUUCCACGUGUAGCGGUGAAAUGCGUAGAUAUGUGGAGGAACACCAGUGGCGAAGGCGACUCUCUGGUCUGUAACUGACGCUGAGGCGCGAAAGCGUGGGGAGCAAACAGGAUUAGAUACCCUGGUAGUCCACGCCGUAAACGAUGAGUGCUAGGUGUUAGGGGUUUCGAUGCCCGUAGUGCCGAAGUUAACACAUUAAGCACUCCGCCUGGGGAGUACGGCCGCAAGGCUGAAACUCAAAGGAAUUGACGGGGGCCCGCACAAGCAGUGGAGCAUGUGGGUUUAAUUUCGAAGCAACGCGAAGAACCCUUUACCAGGUCUUUGACAUCCUUUGACCACUCUGGAGACAGAGCUUCCCCUUCGGGGGGGCAAAGUGACAGGUGGUGCCAAUGGUGUUCGUCAGCAUCGAUGUCGUGAGCAUGCAUGGGAUUAGUUCCCGCAACAGAAGCCGCA
rnacentral:rRNA from 1 species